GGGGUUGUGGCUCAGCGGUAGAGCGCUCGUCCAGCACAUGAGAGGUCCUGGGUUCAAUCCUCAGCACCACA
rnacentral:tRNA from 1 species